rnacentral:ncRNA from 1 species
GAGUUUGAUCCUUGCUUAUAACGAACACUAGCUCAAUGCUUACCCAUGUAAGUCAAACGUUAUUUCCAGGGAGUUGGGCAGAAGGAUAAGAGGCUCCAAGCUAACUAAAGGUAGCUUGUCUCCCCCUAAUAGUGGUGGCCAGUGUAGUCAAUGAGCAAAGCCAGUGGUAGCAACACAUGAACAAAGCUCUCUAAACUAUUGGAAGCCUUUGCUACACAAGCCAGUGGUAGCAACUUCCAAUUGUUUAGGGCGCGCUUUAUUUGCAACAGAAAAGCAAUCACUUUUGAGGGAUUUGCAACUUUUAAUUGUUGAUGAUUUUUUUUAUUUGCAGCUUAAGAAAAACAUUUGCCGAAGAGUGCUUUGACGUUGUAAAGCCCUCUUCAACACAUAGACAUUACCUUCAGGAGGUGGGAACAGUUGAGAACAAAGCGGUGAACAUGUGCAUAACAUGUGGGAGUCUGCCGAACACUUCGAGCCAAAUCUUGAAGAAAGCUAGAAGUGUUGUUUGAUGAACUUCCAUAGUAGUAGGUAGUUGGUAAGGUAAAGGCUGACCAUGCCAAUGAUGCUUAGCAGCAGGGAAUCUUGGACAACGGGUGAAGCCUGAUCCAACAAUAUCGCUUGAGUGAGGAAGGGCAAUGAUGCUUGUAAAGCCCUUUUAUCGAGCGAGCAUUCAUGAUAGUAUUUGAGGAAGGAGACCCAGCUAACUCCGUGCCGGCAGCCACAGUGAGAUCUGGUCCCUGAGGGGGGGGGAGGGGGAAGCGAUGUGUAAUUUAUUUUUCAGAAUGAUUGGGCGUAAAGGGCACUUAGGCGGUGAAUUGGGUUGCAAGUGAAAGUCGCUAAAAAGUGGUGGAAUGCUCUCGAAACCAAUGAACUUGAUUGAUAUAUAGGAGAGUGGAAUUUCGUGUGUUGGGGUGAAAUCACCCUAAAAAGAGUCUUUAUGUAGGUGGCUAGGUGCAAAGCAGUUGGUUGAGUGUGGAGCAUAUAGGUAACAUGACGAGACAAAUAUUUUGCU